UGGGGAAUCUUCCGCAAUGGACGAAAGUCUGACGGAGCAACGCCGCGUGAGUGAAGAAGGUUUUCGGAUCGUAAAACUCUGUCUUUUGGGGCGAACGUGAGUAUGGUGAACAAUCAUAGUCAGUGACGGUACCAAAGGAGGAAGCCACGGCUAACUACGUGCCAGCAGCCGCGGUAAUACGUAGGUGGCAAGCGUUGUCCGGAAUUAUUGGGCGUAAAGAGCGCGUAGGCGGGAUAGUCAGUCUGUUGUAAAGUGCGGGCUCAACCCCGUGAUCGCAAUGGAAACAGCUAUUCUUGAGUGCAGGAGAGGAAAGUGGAAUUCCCAGUGUAGCGGUGAAAUGCGUAGAUAUUGGGAGGAACACCAGUGGCGAAGGCGACUUUCUGGACUGUGUCUGACGCUGAGGCGCGAAAGCCAGGGGAGCGAACGGGAUUAGAUACCCCGGUAGUCCUGGCCGUAAACGAUGGGUACUAGGUGUGGGAGGUAUCGACCCCUUCCGUGCCGGAGUUAACGCAAUAAGUACCCCGCCUGGGGAGUACGGUCGCAAGACUGAAACUCAAAUGAAUUGAC
rnacentral:rRNA from 1 species